UACGUAGGGGGGCAAGCGUUGUCCGGAAUCAUUGGGCGUAAAGAGCGUGUAGGCGGCCCGAUAAGUCCGCUGUGAAAGUCCAGGGCUCAACCCUGGGAUGCCGGUGGAUACUGUCGGGCUCGAGUCCGGAAGAGGAGUGUGGGAAUUCCUGGUGUAGCGGUGAAAUGCGCAGAUAUCAGGAGGAACACCAAUGGCGAAGGCAGCACUCUGGGACGUGACUGACGCUGAGACGCGAAAGCGUGGGGAGCAAACAGG
rnacentral:rRNA from 1 species